GUCACCAUCAAAGCAGUCGACGAUUUAAUAACUUCCUGGUUGAUCGUGUAAACAAUAUGGAUACUAUUUUUGUUCAAACUUUAACACAAAAUAGCAUUAUUGGGAUUCUGUUAAUCGGUAUAUCUGUCUCACAACCGGUUAUAUCUCCCAAUGGAACCGUGGAUGUUCUUCAAGGAACGAACCUGACACUUACAUGUACAUACCAAUCAAAACCAUCUAUUGAUCAAUUCAUUUCAUGGAAUCUUCGUAAGCAGGGAUGGACUAAUUUUGCAUCUGCACUUUCCGUGUACAAAACACCAGGAUCUAUAUGCCCGUAUUUUGAUGGAAACUUGACACUUUAUGGCUACUCCUGUCCUGCGGACAACAUGUUCAGUAUAACCAUUUACUAUGUAGAGAGAAGUACUAGUCAGGGCUCGACAUGGACGUGUGCUCAUCAAGCCGGAUCAGCACCAUUUGUGGAAAGCGCAAAUGUGACUAUCAAUGUGCAAGGUAAUCAUUCGACGCUUUACAAAUAACCCAUUUAUCAACUUCAUGGUAUUCAUGGGUCACAUUGUUAUUUUUUUGUAGUAAGAUAUACAUGUUUAUGCACAUCAAACGCCACACUUAUAUUUGUAUAAGCUCACAAAUAUAUAUCAACGGAUUUCUUCAAAAGUUAAAAUAUAAAUACAAUACUAUUUUAAUAUCCCAGAUAUUAAGUGAAAGAAAUCUGCGAUUCGAUGAACUGGCUCAUUUAUCGAGCAAUACCAAUAUAAAAUUACAUAAUCUAAAUGAUUUGCUUUCACCGAAAAUAAAACAGUUAAUCCCAAUUGAAUUGUAAAAAAAUAAGUUUCCGUUCCUGCUUGCUCAACAUCAUGUUUGUAAAAUAAUAGUUUUGAUGACAUACUGAGACGUUUGUCGCGUUGAGGUCCCCAUAAUAUCUGGUGAAUGCCAAUGAAACCUGAAUCGAGUUCUCGCAGGCAACACAGUAAUAAAGAUCUUGUUUAUCCCCAUAUUCAAUGUGUCGCAAACAUGUCUUAUAAUGUGCGAGUGUCGUAAUUUUGCCGGCUUAACACACUUUCGUUUUCUUAUGGGUUGUAAGUUCGGCACAAGCUUGUGUUCAACUACAAGGCUGCUUUGUUAAUCGACCCGUCUCCAAUGGCGUAUUAAAUACACGCGCAUUAUAAUCAAGCGUGAAAACAAAAUGUUUAAGGAUCAUAUUGUCCUACGGCAAGAAUAAUAUGCAAAAGAAAAUAA